CUUGCUUAUUUGUUGGGCCUUUUUGUCAAUUGGAGAGUACUUGCAGUUUUAGGAAUUUUGCCUUGUACAAUAUUAAUACCUGGAUUAUUUUUCAUACCAGAAUCUCCAAGAUGGUUGGCCAAGAUGAGAAUGACAGAAGAGUUUGAGACUUCUUUGCAAGUGUUUCGAGGAUUUGAUACUGAUAUAUCACUUGAAGUAAAUGAAAUUAAGAGAUCUGUGGGAUCAAUGGGAAAAAGUGUUACAAUCCAGUUUGCAG